rnacentral:rRNA from 1 species
GACGAACGCUGGCGGCGUGCCUAACACAUGCAAGUCGAACGCAGUUGCGCAGGGGUGCGUAACGGGUACGUAACCGCCUGGUAGCUGGGGAUAACGAUAGGAAAUGAUAGCUAAUAUCGAUUAGUAAAGGAUGGACCUGCGUUGUAUUAGCUAGUUGGUGGGGUAACGGCUCACCAAGGCAACGAUACAUAGCCGACCUGAGAGGGAGAUGGGCCACACUGGGACUGGGACACGGCCCAGACCCCUACGGGAAGCAGCAGUAGGGAAUCUUCGGCAAUGGACGGAAGUCUGACCGAGCAACGCCGCGUGAGUGAAGAAGGUUUUCGGAUCGUAAAGCUCUGUUGUAAGAGAAGCGGUAUCUUACCAGAAAGGGACGGCUAACUACGUGCCAGCAGCCGCGGUAAUUC